AUUAUAGCCCCUGCACCAACUGUUCUCUAUGUAAUUGUGCUUCAUAAAAGAGAAAACAAACCUUCCGGGCCAAUAGCUACUGCAGAAAGAGUCAGAGCGGGAAGAAAUAUGGCACAGCACCUGUCUGCCCUAACGACGGAGUGACGCUGUGUAGGAUGCUGGUUUCGGUCAGGAUGAAACUAUGUCCUGGAAGGGAGGAGCCCCAGAGCUGUUGCAAACAGCUGAGCCAAGAUAAAAUCUGUUAACACCAAGGUAGGCUCACAAGGAAGUAGUAGCAGAGCUAUUAACAUCCUAACCAUGAGACAGUCACUCUAAAGUGGGCCACCUUCAGUCCCUCUGGCUGGCACAAUUCUGGUGUGUGGAAAAUAUAUGAGCAGUCAUUUCAACAAAGGACAUGAAUGCUUCUCAGCCUGGAGCCCUCCUCGAGGAUGGAAGAUAUCUGAAGCUCAGUACCUCUGCCAGUAAAGAUUUAAUUAUUAAUGCUAAAUGGAACAGCAGCAACAGGAUUGCAAGCACCCCACAAUAUUUAAUGGCAUGGAGGUUACCAAUGAAGGACUAAGAAAGAGGUGGUGGAGGGGUCUUAAAUCCCCUCAAGCAGACACUGAACCUGCAUCUUUCAUGCUAAGAGUGAAUGUUCAAAGAGAGGCAGCCCCCUCCCCCAGCUCCGUGAUGGGAAUACAGUGACACUGCUUUUCCUUUGCUCUCCCUAGGCAGCAUCGUUCAAAUGAAUUCAGAUCAAAUCUAUGAAGUUUUUGAAUGAAUGAGACUGUAUUUUACUUUUCACUGGGGAAUAUAUGAUCCAUACCUACUCUUGUUUAAUGGAAAUUUUUUAGUACAUUAAUAACCACAAUUUAUCAUUAAAAGAAACACAGUAUCUGUAGGCAUCUUGUCUCGUUCACAAA